UACAGAGGGUGCAAGCGUUAAUCGGAAUUACUGGGCGUAAAGCGUGCGUAGACGGUUAUUUAAGUCAGGUGUGAAAGCCCCGGGCUCAACCUGGGAAUUGCAUUUGAGACUGAAUAGCUAGGGUGCGGAAGAGGGAAGCGGAAUUUCCGGUGUAGCGGUGAAAUGCGUAGAUAUCGAUCGGAACACCCAUGGCGAAGGCAGCUCGCUGGCCUGCAACUGACGCUGAGGCGCGAAAGCGUGGGGAGCAAACAGG
rnacentral:rRNA from 1 species